rnacentral:rRNA from 1 species
GAGCACGCCGCGUGAGGGACGAAGGCCUCUGGGCUGUAAACCUCUUUUCUCAAGGAAGAAGACAUGACGGUACUUGAGGAAUAAGCCACGGCUAAUUCCGUGCCAGCAGCCGCGGUAAUACGGGAGUGGCAAGCGUUAUCCGGAAUUAUUGGGCGUAAAGCGUCCGCAGGCGGCCUUGAAAGUCUGUUGUUAAAGCGUGGAGCUCAACUCCAUUUAAGCAAUGGAAACUACAAGGCUAGAGUGUGGUAGGGGCAGAGGGAAUUCCCGGUGUAGCGGUGAAAUGCGUAGAUAUCGGGAAGAACACCAGUGGCGAAGGCGCUCUGCUGGGCCAUAACUGACGCUCAUGGACGAAAGCCAGGGGAGCGAAAGGGAUUAGAUACCCCUGUAGUCCUGGCCGUAAACGAUGAACACUAGGUGUCGGGAGAAUUAACCCUUCCGGUGUCGUAGCCAACGCGUUAAGUGUUCCGCCUGGGGAGUACGCACGCAAGUGUGAAACUCAAAGGAAUUGACGGGGGCCCGCACAAGCGGUGGAGUAUGUGGUUUAAUUCGAUGCAACGCGAAGAACCUUACCAGGGUUUGACAUCCUGCGAAUCCCUUGGAAACGAGGGAGUGCCUUCGGGAACGCAGUGACAGGUGGUGCAUGGCGUCGUCAGCUCGUGUCGUGAGAUGUUGGGUUAAGUCCCGCAACGAGCGCAACCCACGUCUUUAGUUGCCAGCAUUCAGUUGGGCACUCUAGAGAGACCGCCGGUGAUAAACCGGAGGAAGGUGUGGAUGACGUCAAGUCAUCAUGCCCCUUACAUCCUGGGCUACACACGUACUACAAUGCUACGGACAAAGGGCAGCAAACUCGCGAGAGCUAGCAAAUCCCAUAAACCGUGGCUCAGUUCAGAUCGUAGGCUGCAACUCGCCUACGUGAAGGAGGAAUCGCUAGUAAUCGCAGGUCAGCAUACUGCGGUGAAUACGUUCCCGGGCCUUGUACACACCGCCCGUCACACCAUGGAAGUUGGCCAUGCCCGAAGUCGUUACUCCAACCCGCAAGGGAGGAGGACGCCGAAGGUGGGGCUGAUGACUGGGGUGAAGUCGUAACAAGGUAGCCGUACCGGAAGGUG